rnacentral:snRNA from 1 species
GGAUGUGAGGGCGAUCUGGCUGCGACAUCUGUCACCCCAUUGAUCUCCAGGGUUGAUUUGCCUGAUCUGGCUGGCUAGGCGGGUGUCCCCUUCCUCCCUCACCGCUCCAUGUGCGUCCCUCCCGAAGCUGCGCACUCGGUCGAAGAGGACGACCUUCCCCACUAGAGGAGGACCGGUCUUCGGUCAAGGGUAUACGAGUAGCUGCGCUCCCCUGCUAGAACCUCCAAACAAGCAAUUGCACUUUCUACCUGAGUAGUUAGUCUUGUCUUUAUAUCCUCUAAAGCAUAGUAUUUUUUGA